AUGGCUUACAGGCUUCCACUGGCAGGAGUUAGGACUUCCAAUUAUGAGGCUAGAGAGCUUCCAUCAAACAGCUACCUGAAUCUGGGUGGGCCUUAUGGAAAAUUUGUGCCUUUCAUAAUCGCGGGAGAAGGUGGCUUUGGGGAGCAUAAGCAGCUCAACUGGACAAACUUGUUUUUACUAAACAAGCUUGGCAGUGACAUAGACAGCGAUCAUGUAGAGGUGAUCAAUCAGAUCAAAGUAGAGAAAGAUGUUGAAAAGAUAAAAGAGUUGAUAAAGCGACUGCCCCGUGAAAUUUCCGAGCAAUUGGAAGGCCACGAGACCCAUGAACAGGUUAAAAUCCUGACAGGUCUGAGUAGGAACAUGGAUCAGAGGAUGUCCUGUCUCACAACAGAGAUGCGGCGUCUAAGAAGUGAUCUGGGAGAGGUGAUGAAAGGUAUCGGAGAGAUACGCGGAGCAUUGGAUAGGAUGGAGCGACAAAAUCCUUGCUACCGUCCAGGAACAAAUGCAACAAGCCCUGGAGUUUGUACUCCAGGCAGCUACGUAUUUGGGUAUCGUAUUUUUCUAUAUUGUAUUGUAAUGAAUAAAAUUAUGCGCUCCUUGCAGCGUAUAAUGUUGUACGAGUCUGCGUCGGUCGAGUUUUUUUAG
rnacentral:rRNA from 1 species